UGAGCAACACUUCAAUAAGAUGCGGUUGGCUGUCUUCAAGUGUGUUGGAGGACACCCUUGUAAGCCUUUACCCUACCUGGUCGGUAGCUGUUGUAUGAGAGGAGAAUGAAGGCUGGUGGGUGGGAAUUGACAGCGGACCAAACUGAGUAUAAAAUACUAUGGAAAGACAAAACCUAAUAUGAGGUGUUCACAGAUCUUCCAAAUAGCAGCAUGCCCUCUUCACUCUGCUUUUGUCUCAUACCCUAAUGUCAACUUGACUAAACUUGUGCCUAUGAGAAUCAAUUGUA